rnacentral:lncRNA from 1 species
UGUGGAGCUGACUGGCCUCUCCCAGUCAAGGCCCCGGAGAAGAAUGGAAAAACCAGUUCAGCUUAUUUCCUACUGGGAGUGAGACAAGUGGCGCAGUCAUGGGAGAAAGGUCACCUAAAGAGAAAUUAACUGAACAGUCAGGGCAUAAAUCAAAGGGGAAAGAGUCACUUUUAUACAUCCGUCUCCAUGAUUUUCAUGUCCAAUUUAUCAACAAGUUCUCAAUUGUUCCACCAAGAGUACUUGAAUCCGUCACUCCUUUUUUUUUUUUUUUUUAAAGACAGCAUCUCACUCUGUGGCCCAGGCUGGAGUGUGGUGGCACUAUCACAGUUCAUUACAGCCUCAACGUCUCGGACUCAGAUGAUCCUGCCACCUCAAUCUCCCAAGUAGUUGGGACCACAGGUAAUGAGAGAUCACCAGGCUAGGAGGAUAGAGAAGCCUGAAUUCUGCUAAGGAAUAGACAUAAACAACUGCCAGCCAUUAUUCUGGAGGUCACAAGAAGUGAUUCAGCACUCAGGAUUAUUGCCCACACCCCUACGAUUGCACCCCCAAGCAAUCACCAGCAAGCACCCAAUGCCUAGCCAUCCCCACCCCUUCCCCCAAACUACCUUUGAAAAACCCCUAACCUACCAGCCUUCAAUGAGAUUGAUUUGAGUAAUAACUCCAUCUCCAGUGUGGAGUGGCCAGCCUCACAUCAAUUAAACUCUUUCUUUACUGCAA